UACAGAGGUCCCAAGCGUUGUUCGGAUUCACUGGGCGUAAAGGGUGCGUAGGUGGUAAGGCAAGUCAGGUGUGAAAUCUCCAAGCUCAACUUGGAAACUGCAUUCGAAACUACCUUGCUAGAGGAUUUGAGGGGGGACUGGAAUACUUGGUGUAGCAGUGAAAUGCGUAGAUAUCAAGUGGAACACCAGAGGCGAAGGCGGCCGGCUGGACCUGACCUGACGCUGAGGCACGGAGGCGUGGGGAGCGAACGGG
rnacentral:rRNA from 1 species